rnacentral:rRNA from 1 species
GGGUCAGUAGAUUGGUCGUGCCACCGGUACGUACUGGUCUCACUGAUUCCUCCUUCCUGAAGAACCGUAGUGCCAUUAAUUUGGUGUUGCGGGGAAACAGGACUGUUACUUUGAAAAAAUUAGAGUGUUUAAAGCAAGCUAACGCUUGAAUACAUUAGUAUGGAAUAAUGAAAUAGGACGAUCGAUCCUAUUUUGUUGGUUUCUAGGAUUGACGUA